ACGGAGGGUGCGAGCGUUAAUCGGAAUUACUGGGCGUAAAGCGCGCGUAGGCGGUUAUCUAAGCUAGGUGUGAAAUCCCCGGGCUCAACCUGGGAACUGCAUUUAGAACUGGAUAGCUAGAGUACAGCAGAGGAGUGUGGAAUUUCAGGUGUAGCGGUGAAAUGCGUAGAGAUCUGAAGGAACAUCAGUGGCGAAGGCGACACUCUGGGCUGAUACUGACGCUGAAGUGCGAAAGCGUGGGGAGCAAACAGG
rnacentral:rRNA from 1 species